CCCUGUGCUUACCAAAUAAAACAAUUAUGUAUUUAUUACGAUUUUAUAUGAGAACGUCAAAAGCAGAACUAAUGCAACAACGUUCAAACACUGCAGCCUGCUGCCACUGGUGUGUGGCGCUGGCGCUGCUCAGUGAAUGAUAGAUCAGAUCAGAGAGAAGAAGACAAACGAAGAAGAUGGAGUUGUGAUUUCUCAGUUCCGAAUGGCGGCCAUAUUGGAAUUUUCUUUACUGUCGCUAGUUUCACACAUGGUUUCACACUACUUGAUUUCUCAUGUUGCAGUAAGCUAAACAAUUUCAUCUCUUACGUGACUUGUUGUUCUUGCACGUAACUGUGUAACCGUCAGACUGAUAAAGAAGUUGGUGAAUGUCUUUACGUUUAGAAACGUAAAUCAAGCAAACUCAUCCAAGCAGAUGCGAAUAGCCUGUCAGUACUCAAACCACCAGUAGCAGGCUUAGGACUAGAGUUUGCCAGUCAGACCACUACACCUUUGCCAGCACCACCACCCUGCAAGCUUCAUCAACUCCAGCCAUGCCGAGUUUACCAGUCAGACCUACACCUCUGUCAAAUUCGCUCACAACGCUGCCAGUAACACCCCAGCAAGGUAGAACUGCAUUUUCAUUAAUCUGGCACCAAUAUCAAGGGAGAAACAAGCCAUGAAUGUCUGUCACAACUUCUUUGCAUCUUUACUUUCCUUACAUCUGAAGAGUGUGUUGCAUAUUUAUAUCAUUAUUAAAAAUAAUUUUAAUAAAUUAAAAGCAUGUACAAUAAAUAAAGCAUGUAAAUGAAAUAAAUAAACAAAAGCAAGUAAAAUAAAUAAAUAAACAAAAUGUAUUGAACCUAAUACUAUGUGUGGUGAGUCUGUGUGAUAGUUGCUGAGGAUAAAUGUUUUUAUAUUGGAUUAUUAAAUUACAGAAUACAUUUAUAGGUUUCUCAUCAGCAGGCACUGUCUUCACCUUAGUAAAUUUGGUAACAAAUAAUUGUAAAUUGUUCUGAUUGAGGGCAAAUGGAAAGUGUUAUAAUGUAUUAUUGCUAUUUUAGUGCAUCAUUUUCAUUAUUAUGGCCAUAAAUAAGGCCAAUUAGAAGCUGGUGGGUAGUAAGCGGCAAAAGGGUGGCCCUUUAUCUGGAGCCGCUUCUGAGCCGCCGGUGGACAGCCAGAGAACUGAUGAGCAAAACUCCAGCGGGCCACUGGUGGUUACCGCCGUUGGACCGCCAACUCUGCCGCUGGUUUGUAACGAUAACUUUAGCAUUGCCCAUGGUGGAUUAAAUGAUUGCAAAAUAUUUAUUGAGGUGAGUUUAACAAGUGUAAUUUCAUUGGCAUAUAAUUCAGGCCUAUAGUAGAUGGCUAAAUGGCUACAGUAGAAGGAUACACGAAAAGCCCAAACUACCAAAAUCUUCAUAUUUUAUUACCACAGUUUCUAUCUAUAGGCCUCUCUUAUUUGGUAUACUGACUAGACAUUAUUGAACAAACAUAGGCUAUUCAUCUGUAUUUCAGUAUCUCAGUAGGUUAAAGUAUUUUUUAGAUACCUCCCUGAAAUUACUUUUUGCAGGUUGUGAUUUUUAUGUUGAGCCGGCAGG